CAUCUGCUAAAUCAUUAAAAGAAGAAGAGGGGGGAAGUAAUUGAUAAUAACACGUAGCUAUAAUCUCAUUCGGUUAGUUGAAAACUGAGUUGCACCCUCAUGGUCUGAUACACCUGUAGAGUUGCUCUGGGUAGUACAGUACAGUCGUGCUUCCUCGAAGAUGUUUCCUAGCUGAUUUAUAAACUGUGUCCUGCUGUAACCCCUCCCCUUAAGACCCCCCAUUCAGACAGCAACAAGAAGAACAGUGUCCGACAAACUAGUGUCCCUCACCCUGAAGAAGAAGUCCAAGAUCACUGAGGAGGUGGUGAAGCGCAUGUCAUUAAGCGUUUGUCUCAGCUGGUUCUCCAGGAAACUGGAGAGGAGAGGGUUAAACCUUACACACUGGAAGAGUUCAGCUAUGACCACUUCAGGGUGAUGAUUACUAAGAACAGAGGGAAGGCCUCAAUGUGGAGCUGCACCAGAGAGCCUAUCAAACAGCCCCUACUGAAGAAGGUCCUCAGCCAUGAAGACCUGUCACAGGACAUCUGCAUGGCCUUCAUAGAUAUCCUUUACUGGCUACUAGCUAAACACACCAUCUGUAGUGUGUGUGAUUCAGACUCACGAUCUUGUGAUUAGGUAAACGUGCCUGCAACUUAAAAUCCACCUCGGCCAGAGAUGGAAUUUCCUCUUGGUCUAAUAGUUAAGAUGUUGGUUUCUCAGGAGAGAGGGUUCAGAUCCCACCUGUGACAUGUGUGUGAUAUGUAAACUCCUUGACUGUGCCACCUAUGAUGAAGUAUAUGCCCAAGCUAACGCGUUCGGUCAACGGGCUGACAGACCAGAUCUUUGAAGGAGCCCUGAAGGCCGAACCUCUAAAAGAUGAGUUAUUCUGUCAGAUACUCAAGCAACUCACAGACAACCACGUCAAGUAGGAUCACACACACUGUUCUGCGUACUUGAGUUGAAAAAAUAUGCAAACCAGCAGCCUCGGAAGUUGUAACUCAACACAACAACGCAAGAUCGCCAUUUUGCACAGCUAAUUAUGUUAUUGUGUUUCCUACUAGCGCAUGGUAUAAUUAGGUUUUAGCUGAGAGGUCUGUCUGUGCUGUAAGCCUCAGGUGGACUUGCCUGCUGUGGAGUUUGAACAUUUAGUGUUGACCAGAAAGGAUCAUUAUCUGUUGGUAUUUGGCAGGUCUAUGUACUGUAGCUCUAUGAGACUAGUGUUUAACUCAACAAUGGCCUUUGUCAUACUCACUAGAACCAGGGAUGCAAAGCUCCCUACAAUCCUUUGUAGAACCAGGUCCAGACCUGACUCAGCUGGAACACAACAGAGCCAUGGAUGAUUCUGAGUUCUGCAUGAAGAGUUCUAUACCCUGCAUCCCAAUGGUACCCUAUUUCCUACAUAGUGCUCUUGUCAAAAGUAAUGCACUAUAAAGGGAAUAGGGUGUAAUUUGGGACACACCCUGUGUUAGUUGUUCAGACAGGACAUACAUAUUACUCGAAAAUAUUCCUAUUCAUGAAAUCACAAGUGGAAUAUAUUGAAACACAGCUUAGCCUUUUGUUAAUCACCCUGUCAUCUCAGAUUUUGAAAAUAUGCUUUACAGCCAAAGCUAGACAAGCAUUUGUGUAAGUUUAUCGAUAGCCUAGUAUAGCAUUAUGUCCAGCUAGCAGUAGGCAACUUGGUCACAAAAAUCAGAAAAGCAAUCAAAUUAAAUCGUUUACCUUUGAUGAGCUUCGGAUGUUUUCACUCACGAGGCUCCCAGUUAGAUAGCAAAUGUUCCUUUUUUCCAAAAAGAUUAUUGUUGUUGGCAAAAUAGCUCCGUUUGUUCUUCACGUUUGGCUGAGAAUUGUGGUCACGAAAACGCCGAAAAAUAUUCCAAAUUAGCUCCAUAAUAUCGACAGAAACAUGGCAAACGUUGUUUAUAAUCAAUCCUCAAGGUGUUUUUCAAAUAUCUAUUCGAUAAUAUAUCCACCGGGACAAUUGGUUUUUCAGUAGGAGCAAGAGGAAAAAUGGCUACCUCUGUAUUUUACGCAAGAAUCACCCUGAGAGCCAUCAGGUGACCACUUGCGCAAUGUAGCCGUUUACGGGUAUUCUUCAACAUAAAGGCGUAAAACCACAUCACAAUGCUGUAGACACCUUGGGGAAUACGUAGUAAAAGUAUUCUGGUUGAUAGCCCAUUCACUGCUCAAUAGGGACGCAUUGUAAUGCAGAGCUUUCAAAACAUGAGUCACUUCCGGAUUGGAUUUUUCUCAGGCUUUCGCCUGCAAUAUCACUUCUGUUAUACUCACAGACAAUAUUUUUACAGUUUUGGAAACUUUAGAGUGUUUUCUAUCCUAAGUUGUUAUUUAUAUGCAUAUUCUAGCAUCUUAUCCUGUCAAAAUAUCCGGUUUACUUUGGGAACGUUAUUUUUCCAAAAGUGAAAAUACUGCCCCCUAGUCACAGGUUAAGUUUUGUUUAAGAUUUAUGGUACUUAUUUUAUAUUUACAUUGUGUAAGGUAUCUGUCCAUGUAGUGAAAAUAUGGUUUGUAUGAGGAAUCAGUCUAUAUUCUGCAGGUGCUAGUUUACAUUAACAACACAGAGUUCUGGGUAAAUUGUAACUAUUUAGCUCACCGUAUGGUUCACAACAGUGUGUAUGUGUCCCAAAUGGCAUUCUAUUCCAUAUAUAGGGCCCUAGUAUAAAAAAAUCAAGGCUCUGGGUAUAAGUAAUGCACUGUUUAGGGAAUAGGGUGCCAUUUAGGAUGCACAGUAUUCCCAGUCUGUCUGGGUGAUAUUACUACAGUAUUACUAAAACAGCUGUGUUGCUCUACUGCCUGGACAGAAGACACGAUGACAGUGGGGCUACUGUCAGAGAUGCCAUUAGUCUAGUUUUCUUUGCCUCGCCUCUCCUCUUGCACCCCGAAUGAGGGCCAGGAUUAAAUCGGAAACCAUAAUGUAGUGUGCUAGACAUUUAAAGGGAAUUUCCAAUGCAGCUGACACCUGCAGUAGUUACCUUGAAUACAAUCUCCAUGCUGAGGUAUCGUUGCCUUUAAAAGCUGCAUUGUUGCCUCCAGAGUGGCACAGCCAGCGGUCUAAGGCAUUGCAUCGCAGUGCUAGAGGCGUCACUACAGACCCGAUUUCGAACCCAGGCUCUGUUGCAACCGGCCGCGACUGGGAGACCCAUUUGCCCCAGCAUCGUCCGGGUUAGGGGAGGGUUUGGCCACCCGGGAUGUCCUUGUCCCAUCGUACUCUACCGCCUCCUUGUGGCGUGCCAGGCGCAUGCCCGUUGACUUCGGUCGCCAGCCAUACAGUGUUUCCUCCGACACAUUGGUGCGGCUGGUUUCCAGGUUAAGUGAGCAGUGGGUCAACACUGUGUUUCGGAGGAUGCAUGGCUCUCGACCUUCGCCUCUCCGAGUCUACGGCAGUUGCAGCAAUGGGACAAGACUGUAACUACCAAUUGGAUUCCACGAAAAAGGGGUAAAAAGUACAAAAAAAAAGCUGCAUUGUAGAUUAGAACCCUCAGACCUAGAUUGAAUCUUGGCUGAGGUGUCUGUUUUUAUAAAAACAAUAAAG